rnacentral:sRNA from 1 species
GGCUGUGAGUGCAGUAGUAUUUACAUCUAAUUGAUCACAACCAGUUACAGAUUUCUUUGUUCCUUCUCUGCUCCCACUGCUUCACCUGACUAGUCAAAA